GACGAACCGAGCGAACGUUGUUCGGAAUCACUGGGCGUAAAGGGUGCGUAGGCGGGUUUUUAAGUCAGGGGUGAAAUCCUGGAGCUCAACUCCAGAACUGCCUUUGAUACUGAAGAUCUUGAGUCCGGGAGAGGUGAGUGGAACUGCGAGUGUAGAGGUGAAAUUCGUAGAUAUUCGCAAGAACACCAGUGGCGAAGGCGGCUCACUGGCCCGGUACUGACGCUGAGGCACGAAAGCGUGGGGAGCAAACAGG
rnacentral:rRNA from 1 species